rnacentral:rRNA from 1 species
GAUGAACGCUGGCGGCGCGCUUAACACAUGCAAGUCGAACGGAUAAGCCACCUUCGGGUGUGUAUCUCGUGGCGCAAGGCUGUGUAAAACGUGUGAAUAACGUCCCUUUGACUGUGGUAUCAAUGGAAAAAAGUGGGUCUUAUAGCAUACUUCAACACUUCCGCCUGGAAGGGUCUAGAAAAUUUUCGGCGGGUGGGGAUGGCCUCGCGGCUUUUCAGCUUGUUGGUGGGGUAGCGGCCUACCAAGGCUAUGACGGGUAGCUGGGCUGAGAGGCCGACCAGCCAGAUUGGGACUGAGACACGGCCCAGACUCCUACGGGAGGCAGCAGUGGGGAAUCUUGCACAAUGGGCGGAAGCCUGAUGCAGCGACGCCGCGUGCGGGAUGAAGGCCUUCGGGUUGUAAACCGCUUUCGGCAGUGACGAAGCGAGAGUGACGGUACCUGCAGAAGAAGCCCCGGCUAACUACGUG